rnacentral:lncRNA from 1 species
AGCACUGGGAACUAUAUCUAGUCACUUGUGAUGGAGAAUAAUGUGAAAAGAAGAAUAUAUACAUGUAUGUGUGACUGGGUCACUUUUCUGUACAGCAGAAAUUGACAGAACACUGCAAACCAACUAUAAUGGCAGAAAUAAAAAUCAUUACCAAAAAAAGAAAUGUAGCAGGGGGAGUUCCUCUGUUGUGGCACUGCGGAAACGAAUCCUACCAGUAUCCAUGAAGAUGCCGGUUCGAUCGCAGGCUUGCUCAGUGGGUUAAGGAUCCGGUGCUGCGAUGAGCCGUGGUGUAGAUCGCAGAUGCGACUCGGAUCUGGCGUCGCUGUGGCUGUGGUGUAGGCCAGCAGCUGUAGCUCCGAUUUGACCCCUAGCCUGGGAACUUCCAUAUGCCGUGGGCCCUAAAAAGAAAAAAAAAAAAAUGUAGUAUGUCUACACAAUGGAAUACUAUUUGGUACUUUAAAAAAAGAAAAAAGGAAUGACUGAAGCAUGCUACAACAUCUCAGAAAUGUUCUGCCAAGUGGAGGAAGUUAGCCACAGAACACCAUGGGCUGUAUGCUUUCAUUUACCUGAAGUGUCUUUGAAGGCAAAUCUCAAGAGGCAAAAAGUAGUUUAGCGGUUGUCUGGGGUGGAGCGCGGCUACAGGGAUGGAUUAUAGAUGGAUAUGAGAGGAUUUGGGGGGUGAUGAAGAAAAUAUUCUAAAACUGGAGCCUAGGUAUGGUUGCAUUCAAUAAACUCACUAAAAACUGCCAAGGUAGACACUUCAAAUGAGUGACUUUUAUCAUAUGUAGAUGAUACCUCAGUCAUGAUACAAAAUAACUGAGUGCCUGGUUGAGGUAAGAGCUUCGUGUGAAUGAGUUUCAAGUUCACUGCCAUCCGUCGAACUUGGAACUAUGGAUGGUUAGUUAUAGAGCUUACCCUCUUGUAUGGGGAGAGAAGAGGCUUUGAGGAAGAAGGGCGGGAGAGGAGAGGAGGGGACCAGGAAAGAGGCAGCACUGCAGAGGGACACAGAUGGGACAGCUUGAUCUUGCUCAACUAAUUCUUCCUUCUGACAGUAGUCUUUCCCUCUUUCCAUGUGUGAAAAUUUAAAACUUAGGUUUACAUCCAUCCAGUCCCUCACCUGUGGCCGCUUCACGUGCCCUCCCUUGACCCUCAUGGAAGUUCCUCCCUCCCCGCUCUGAUCACCUGGGUCCCAUCCAACUUUCAUGCCUCACACACGAUCCACCUUUCCCCUGAAGGCUUGGGAUGAAUAGUUGGGUUGAUACAUACCCAAGUACUACGCUCUUGUACUAAUACAAGAUUAACAGCAUUAGGGAGUUCCCCCUGCGGCUCAGCAGGUUAAGAACCCGACGUGGCUUCCAUGAGGAUUUGGAUUCGAUCCCUGGCCUGGAUCAGUGGGUUAAGAUCAGGCAUCGAUGCAAGCCGCGGCAAUAGGUCGCAGAUGCAGCUAAGAUUUGAACCCUAGCCUGGGAACUUCCAUAUGCCACAGGAGCAGCCAUAAAGUGAAAAAAAAAAAAAAAAUUAACGGCAUUAAAACGGUUUCAAUAGAAAAAUUUUGAAUGGCAAAAAUUACCAGGUAUGUUAGAAGAACAUCUCUUUACAAACAAUUUGUAUGUUUACUAUAAACCAUUCCUACAUAUUCAGCAACAUAGGUCCCCUAAAGAGUACCCUGAACAAGGAACCGCAUAUGUUGUGGGAUUUCCAUUCAGAAAUAAUACUUAUUGGCUUGUAUUACAUUUGAAAUCAUGUCAUUAAUUAUUAAUUACUUUGAUUAAAAUGUUUGUGGGAGUUCCUGUUGUGGCUCAGCAGUAAUGGACCCAACUAAUAUCCAUGAGGAUGUGGGUUUGAUCCCUGGCCUCACAUAGUGGGUUAAGGAUCGAGUGUGGCCAUGAGCUCUAGUGUAGGCUGCAGAUGAGGCUCAGAGCUGGCAUUGUUAUGGGUGUGGCAUAGGCCAGAGGCUGCAGCUCUGAUUCCACCCCCCAGCCUGGGAACUUCCAUGUGCCCUGGGUGCAAGCCUAAGAAGACAAAAAAGAAAAAAA